AUAUAUGUAAAUGUCCAGACUUAAUUGACGAGUGUAUGCUAUUAUAAACACGGAGGAAAGCAGUCUACACAGUAAUAAUGUUUAGACAUCCGCGUAGAAAAAAUAUAAAUUUAACCAGAGGGUUGGAUCCACAAGCAAGACUGGAGAGUGAGAUACUUAGGGCAUGAUGUUUUGGGUCAGAGCUGUUUUAUGGUGCCGGAAGGAGAUAUUUGCCUUGUAUGGCAACCCCUAUGCUUCACUGUUGAGAAAUUUUGU